AAGAGGCUCGCUUUCAGCAGUGUUGCCAACUUAGCGACUUUGUCGCCAUAUUUAGCGAGAUUUCAGACCCCCCAAGCGACUUUUUUUGUGAAAAGCGACUAGCGACAAAUCUAGCUACUUUUUCUGGCGUUCUUGGAGACUUUUUGAGACUCUGAUGUGAUGGCAUGUAACGUCCCUUUUUACUCUUCUGAGUGAGCAGUGAGUUCGGCUGUGCUGUGUAAGA